GAUGAACGCUGGCGGCGUGCCUAAUACAUGCAAGUCGAGCGAACGGACGAGAAGCUUGCUUCUCUGAUGUUAGCGGCGGACGGGUGAGUAACACGUGGAUAACCUACCUAUAAGACUGGGAUAACUUCGGGAAACCGGAGCUAAUACCGGAUAAUAUUUUGAACCGCAUGGUUCAAAAGUGAAAGACGGUCUUGCUGUCACUUAUAGAUGGAUCCGCGCUGCAUUAGCUAGUUGGUAAGGUAACGGCUUACCAAGGCAACGAUGCAUAGCCGACCUGAGAGGGGGGGGUGCAACACUAGAAAGGAGACAGGGGGGAGAGUACGGCGGGAGGGAGCAGGGGGGAAUGUUAGGAAAGGGGUGAGAGGGUGACGUAUCUAGGAGGAGGGAGUAAGAGAGGUGGGAGGAUCGUAAGACUCUGUGACGAGGGAAAAACAAAUGGGUAAGGAAAGAUGCACUGCUUGACGGGAGCUAAUAAGAAAGCCAAGGCUAAUGAAGUG
rnacentral:rRNA from 1 species